GCCACUGUACCUCACCAGGUAGAGGGCCUGAUUCGUAAUCAGGACGUAACCGGUUCGAGUCCGGUCAGUGGCUCCA
rnacentral:tRNA from 1 species